rnacentral:rRNA from 1 species
CCUACGGGAGGCAGCAGUGGGGAAUAUUGGACAAUGGGGGGAACCCUGACCCAGCGACGCCGCGUGAGUGAAGAAGUAUUUCGGUUUGUAAAGUUCUUUUAGCAGGGACGAAAGAAAUGACGGUACCUGACUAAGAAGCCCCGGCUAACUACGUGCCAGCAGCCGCGGUAAUACGUAGGGGGCAAGCGUUAUCCGGAUUUACUGGGUGUAAAGGGCGCGUAGACGGCGAUGCAAGUCUGAAGUGAAAGGCGGGGGCCCAACCCCCGGACUGCUUUGGAAACUGUAUGGCUGGAGUGCAGGAGAGGUAAGUGGAAUUCCUAGUGUAGCGGUGAAAUGCGUAGAUAUUAGGAGGAACACCAGUGGCGAAGGCGGCUUGCUGGACUGUAACUGACGUUGAGGCGCGAAAGCGUGGGGAGCAAACAGGAUUAGAUACCCGAGUAGUC